rnacentral:rRNA from 1 species
GUUCAUAACCCUUUGUUGUCCGACUCUGUUGCCUCCGGGGCGACCCUGCCUUCGGGCGGGGGCUCCGGGUGGACACUUCAAACUCUUGCGUAACUUUGCAGUCUGAGUAAACUUAAUUAAUAAAUUAAAACUUUUAACAACGGAUCUCUUGGUUCUGGCAUCGAUGAAGAACGCAGCGAAAUGCGAUAAGUAAUGUGAAUUGCAGAAUUCAGUGAAUCAUCGAAUCUUUGAACGCACAUUGCGCCCCCUGGUAUUCCGGGGGGCAUGCCUGUUCGAGCGUCAUUUCACCACUCAAGCCUCGCUUGGUAUUGGGCAACGCGGUCCGCCGCGUGCCUCAAAUCGACCGGCUGGGUCUUCUGUCCCCUAAGCGUUGUGGAAACUAUUCGCUAAAGGGUGUUCGGGAGGCUACGCCGUAAAACAACCCCAUUUCUAAGGUUGACCUCGGAUCAGNUNGGGAUACCCGCUGAACUUAAGCAUAUCAAUAAGCGGAGGA